rnacentral:rRNA from 1 species
UACGGGGGGGGCAAGCGUUGUUCGGAAUUACUGGGCGUAAAGGGCUCGUAGGCGGCCAACUAAGUCGGAUGUGAAAUCCCCAGGCUCAACCUGGGAACUGCAUCCGAUACUGGAUGGCUUGAAUUCGGGAGAGGGAUGCAGGAUUCCAGGUGUAGCGGUGAAAUGCGUAGAUAUCUGGAGGAAUACCGGUGGCGAAGGCGGCAUCCUGGACCGACAUUGACGCUGAGGAGCGAAAGCUAGGGGAGCAAACGGG